rnacentral:rRNA from 1 species
AGUGAACGCUGGCGGUAGGCCUAACACAUGCAAGUCGAACGGCAGCACAGUAAGAGCUUGCUCUUACGGGUGGCGAGUGGCGGACGGGUGAGGAAUACAUCGGAAUCUACUUUUUCGUGGGGGAUAACGUAGGGAAACUUACGCUAAUACCGCAUACGACCUACGGGUGAAAGCAGGGGAUCUUCGGACCUUGCGCGAUUGAAUGAGCCGAUGUCGGAUUAGCUAGUUGGCGGGGUAAAGGCCCACCAAGGCGACGAUCCGUAGCUGGUCUGAGAGGAUGAUCAGCCACACUGGAACUGAGACACGGUCCAGACUCCUACGGGAGGCAGCAGUGGGGAAUAUUGGACAAUGGGCGCAAGCCUGAUCCAGCCAUACCGCGUGGGUGAAGAAGGCCUUCGGGUUGUAAAGCCCUUUUGUUGGGAAAGAAAAGCAGCAGGUGAAUACCCCGCUGUUCUGGCGGUACCCAAAGAAUAAGCACCGGCUAACUUCGUG